CAAGGGCAGUUGCUUUCUGUACAUCGAGGUAAUUCUGUGUUAUCCUUUCACCUAUCGACUAGGCGCAUCUCAGAAUGGACAGUUUGCUAGCUCAUGCUGGGGAAUUAAGGGAUGUGGCUGAGUGUUGCUUGUAAUCGUCACCAAAAUGAGGGACUUUCUCAGCUCCACCACAGCCAGGCAGUGCGCAGUGCUUCUGGGAAGAGGAAGGCCCUUCUGUGGAGGAGUAACUCAGAGCAGCAAUGGACACAUCUUUUGCAACCUACUAACUGAUUGGUGAAUCAUCGUGUCGUGCUGUCAUUUGAAGAAGUGCAACAGAUGGAGAAACAGUCAUCUGUGAUCCAUCAGAAAACAUUUCAGGGUCGAAAUGGGUGUCAUGGGGCACCCUUACAGAGCGAUGGAAGGCAGCCUCUGAAGAAGGUCUGUAAGAACCCUGGAUCACAGAAUUUGUGGUAGGUCCAUAUAUUUUAUAUGAAACUACUGGAAGCCAUGUUACCUAAUCAUUCAUGCAGGUGUCAAAAGCAAGGCGAUACCACAGCUACUGUUGUCUGAUGGGCAUU
rnacentral:lncRNA from 1 species